AUUGAACGCUAGCGGGAUGCUUUACACAUGCAAGUCGAACGGCAGCGCGGACUUCGGUCUGGCGGCGAGUGGCGAACGGGUGAGUAAUGUAUCGGAACGUGCCCAGUAGCGGGGGAUAACUACGCGAAAGCGUAGCUAAUACCGCAUACGCCCUACGGGGGAAAGCAGGGUAUCGUAAGACCUUGCACUAUUGGAGCGGCCGAUAUCGGAUUAGCUAGUUGGUGAGGUAACGGCUCACCAAGGCGACGAUCCGUAGCUGGUUUGAGAGGACGACCAGCCACACUGGGACUGAGACACGGCCCAGACUCCUACGGGAGGCAGCAGUGGGGAAUUUUGGACAAUGGGGGCAACCCUGAUCCAGCCAUCCCGCGUGUGCGAUGAAGGCCUUCGGGUUGUAAAGCACUUUUGGCAGGAAAGAAACGUCGCGGGCUAAUACCCCGUGGAACUGACGGUACCUGCAGAAUAAGCACCGGCUAACUACGUG
rnacentral:rRNA from 1 species